rnacentral:lncRNA from 1 species
AUUUUGAGAAGGCAGCCUGGAGGCAAAACCCUCUAGACACGCAGAGUCCGGCUGCUCUGCUUGUUAUAGAAUGAGGAAGAACUGAGGGCCAGAGAGCAGCGCACGCAGGCUGGCUCAGAGCUGGAGCACAGGCUCAGUCUCACCUCUCCAUCCUAGCUCUGGAAUCGUCCCCAUCCCCUCCUGGCCAUGGCCAACUGGAGAAGACCCCAUGAGACAAGGUAAAAGUGACACUCCUUUACGAUAACCCAGGACUGGAUACAGCUGAAGUGUACGGACAUUUAGGGACAUUCAGAUCCAGGAGUGAAAUGCACACUAGUGUGGGUUGUGGGCAGAGAAUCUACACUCCGGAUCCAUUUCAACAUUAACAGGUGCAGAAUUUGGAAAUCAGGAUUCCCUUAAUGUACUAGCUUGUCUACGGGAUCUAGCAGUGCCAACCUGCAUGGGUUUUAUAUACUUGAUGAUGGUCCUGGCCACUGUUUCUCACUGACACAGAUAAUCAAGUGAAUUGCUCGGCAAUAUGGGUCAGAUCUGCUGGAAAUUACGACCCCUAAGUACUUCCUAAAAGGAAAAGAGACUCAAAGAAAAUGCCAGGUAAUCAUCCUUUUGCUUUAGAUAAGGGAGCACACAUUCUUCAGAAGCGACAACAAGGGGCUCUGAGGACUUACCGCGGACAACCUGGCCGACCGUCUUGUGGGCUACAAAAGAAUAGGAAAAAAAAUUUUUUUUUUUUGUAUUUUAAACAUCCAUGUUAGUUGUAAAAAUUCAUUCUUGAUAUAUUCUACUUUGUUGAAAGAAUGCAAUGUAAGACUGCCAUCAUACUUAACAGGUUAGCACCAUGAAACAUGCCAAGCCCACCAGGCACUCCAGAGAACGAGGGCUACAGGAUACAGGCUCACCUUUCAUCGAGUGGCUUCUCCCAGGUAAGAGGGAAAGGAGGAAUCCUGGCUCCACCCUACACCACAGUCACUUCUUUUGUGAUAAAUUGACAUGAGAACACUGAAUUAUCUUAAAAAUGCUCUCUUUAAAACGGAACCAAAAGCUGAGAGCUAGUAAGAGACUGAUGUAAUCACCACAGAACUAACAUAGUACCCUCCCACCUCUGCCAUGCUGGAAAACAGUGCCUGUGAAUCUCACACAGGUAAGAAAGGUUGUUUGUUUAUUUGUUUGUUUGUUUGUUUGCUUUGUAUUGUUCUGUUCUUUUCAAGCCCAGAACAAAACCAACACAAUUACCUACUUAAAACAGGUUUCACUAAUCUCUUCAUUUCAAACAUUUAGAAAAUCAAUGAGAUAGAUAUUGAAUUUAGUUAGUUUUUUUUCUCUUCAGAAAACCUUUCGAGGAUUUAUCAGUUAACAGCCAAUGUCAUCCUAAAGAAAAUACAACAUAACACAAGCAUCCAGCACACAAAGAUGACACUCUUAACUACGCAGGAGGACCUACUUGUUCUGGGCAAAGGAAGGGAUUUAACAUCCUAAAACUAAAACUGGCUUUCUCUGCAGGUUUGACUCUAUACUUCCUGGUCCUUUUACUCUCUUCUCCAUCUCUGGUCGAACAGUAGAUACUACCCCACACAUCCCAGAAUAUUUGCUGAAUAAAUGAAUUCGAGUGUUUCCAUGACUCACAUUGGUUUAUGAAGACUCUUGACUCAUUUUGCUAAUUUAAAUGCUUCAAAUAAUUUUUCUUAACUGGGUCAGCAAAAAUGGUUAGUUGGACCUCAUGUCAUGAUUGAGAAGAAUUGGAGAAAUUCUUGAAUCUGUGCCAUGGUCAGUCUAGGUCAGUGGUCCAGGUCACACUGGAAGAAACAGUUCUUGACAUUGCCAUAGCAAAAAAUUUCCUUGGUGAAAGUCCCAUGAGAAGCUACAUUCUUUAAACCACAGAAGGAAAUGAAGGGCCAGAGCAUCCAUGAAUAAUUUUAACCCUGCGGUCUCAAUGAACAAUUAGAGCUGGACAUAAGUCCAGCUAACAGAAUGUGCAAAGAAUAGGAAGUCGUGCCUGGGACAUAGUCACCACCCAGAAUAGGACAUAACAGCACACAGCUCGAGGCACAACUGUGGUCAGGAAAGAAGAAUCAUGAGGGAUUCUCCACAGGAAACACCAAGGUGCCUGCUAGGAUUCUCCUGGGUGCAUUUGAGACAUCACACCCACAAGUUCCUAGGAGACAGGACCCAAAUUCUGUGAUUCCUUUCUCAGGAUGGUCAACCACGUUGAGUAUUGCUGAAGAAAAGACAAUAGUCCCACUUAAACUUCGCAAAAACAUGUAUGUCCUGUGCUUGUUCUUCAACAUGGUUUCUGACUAUGGAAGACUAGAAGAUUAUCUAUCCCUCAGUUACCACAAAGGUCAAGUCUGAAGCUCCUGUAUGGCAGCAAAAACAUACUCCCGCCAUCUAGCAAGUACAUCAGGGGAAGCAACAAUGUCCACAGGGCAGAGUGUCAGCCUCCUUGAAAGAGAGAAGCAAAUAAACUUUACCCAAAUCCUGCCCUGCUUGCCUGUCAACCCACAAGCACUCUGUUGGCUUCCCUUCGGCAGUCACUGCAGUUUCCUACCAUACAGCGCCAUCUUUUUCUACUUCAGUACUGCCAAUGCCUAGUGCGGAUCCUUACUAAGUGUUGAGGCAAAUGGAAGAAGCAAGCGCCAGAAAACCACAGAUUAUCAUUUACAGAAAGGGGCCAGAUGCUCUAACCAUUAUACAUGACUGUCCAUUUGCCAACCAGCUGCUGUUACAAACUUUUAUUAUAGAGAGGUUAAAAAAAGUCAUGUG